rnacentral:lncRNA from 1 species
GAAGCUCUUCUGGGAAUAAUCUCAGAUUUGAUGAAUUGUCAGUUGUGACCAUCUCUCUUCUUCUCUAUGAAAGCCCUGUUCUCACUCUCAACUCUAAACGACAGCUUCCAAUACUUUCCAGAAGUCUACGGUAUGAUUGCCUUAGUUAUCUUACUGAUGCAUUAGAGUGAGACCUAGAUUUUGGGCAACAGUCUUUAUCCACUGGUGGAAUAAGACAACACUGAAAGUGUUGUGAUGGUCUUAAUUUGGGAUUCUUCUUCCCCUACAAGUACAAGAGAUUGUAAUAGUUCUGUGUUUCAUCUUUCUGCGUUUCCCAUACAUACUGGUUCAUGCCAAUUAUUGGUUCACAGUUUGUAAACAAGUAGAUAUGAGUUACAUGUAUGCUAGGAAUUAAUUUCAUUAACACACUGAGUGCUUUUUUUCCAUUACAUCUGUCAAGAAGGAAUAUUUUCCUAUAACUAAUGACCACAGUUGUGCUGAUGGGACAAAAAUCUGAUGCCUUCAGUGAAGGAUUAUUAAUGAACCCUGCUUUAAGAAGUCUGGAUGGCUGUUACUCCUAGAAGCAAACACUGGAUAUUUUUUACUUUUGUUGGCAAUAUUUGUAUAUAUUUGCAUUACCCUAGAAAUAAAUUCCUUUCGCGAUUUGACUGAAUGGAUCAUCUCUUCUGCUAGGAGGAAAUUAAGGCACAAAUUUCCCUGUAGCCAGAGGACCCACCCACUGUGCCGGCUGGAGAUGGAGGAAAGGUGGAAUGGAAGCACCAAGGGCUAGGUACACUGUUUCUCAGAAAUACGAGAAGACACCAGGCUCAGUUGCAGUCCUAAACACACUUUUGCACCGAUUUCCCCAGUUUCUUGGCUGCGUAUUUAAGGGAAAGGAAACCAUUUGUAUGCUGCACUAA